rnacentral:rRNA from 1 species
GCUUAACACAUGCAAGUCGAGGGGCAGCAUGUUGGUUGCUUGCAACCAAUGAUGGCGACCGGCGCACGGGUGAGUAACGCGUAUCCAACCUUCCCCUUAGUAGAGGAUAGCCCGGCGAAAGUCGGAUUAAUACUCUAUGUUCUUCAAUGCGGACAUCUAAGUUGAAGCAAAGAUUUAUCGCUAAGGGAUGGGGAUGCGUCUGAUUAGGUUGCAGGCGGGGUAACGGCCCACCUGGCCUACGAUCAGUAGGGGUUCUGAGAGGAAGGUCCCCCACACUGGUACUGAGACACGGACCAGACUCCUACGGGAGGCAGCAGUGAGGAAUAUUGGUCAAUGGGCGCGAGCCUGAACCAGCCAAGUAGCGUGCAGGACGACUGCCCUAUGGGUUGUAAACUGCUUUUAUCAGGGAAUAAAGUGAGGCACGCGUGCCUUUUUGUAUGUACCUGAUGAAUAAGGACCGGCUAAUUCCGUGCCAGCAGCCGCGGUAAUACGGAAGGUCCGGGCGUUAUCCGGAUUUAUUGGGUUUAAAGGGAGCGCAGGCGGGCUUUUAAGCGUGACGUGAAAUGUGGCGGCUCAACCGCCGAACUGCGUCGCGAACUGGGGGUCUUGAGUGAGUACGACGUUGGCGGAAUUCGUGGUGUAGCGGUGAAAUGCUUAGAUAUCACGAAGAACCCCGAUUGCGAAGGCAGCCGACGAGUCCUUAACUGACGCUAAAGCUCGAAAGUGCGGGUAUCGAACAGGAUUAGAUACCCUGGUAGUCCGCACGGUAAACGAUGGAUGCCCGCUGUAUGCGAUACACUGUAUGCGGCCAAGAGAAAUCGUUAAGCAUCCCACCUGGGGAGUACGCCGGCAACGGUGAAACUCAAGGAAUUGACGGGGGCCCGCACAAGCGGAGAACAUGUGGUUUAAUUCGAUGAUACGCGAGGAACCUUACCCGGGCUUGAACUGCAGCUGAACGAUCCAGAGAUGGUGAGGCCCUUCGGGGCAGCUGUGGAGUGCUGCAUGGUGUCUCACUCGUGCCGGAGGUGUCGGCUUAAUGCCAUAACAAGCGCACCCCUUCGUCAGUGCCAUCCACGCAAUGUGGGCCCUCUGCGUCUGCCCACGUCGGGCGAGGAGAGUGGAAUAGAUG